rnacentral:rRNA from 1 species
AACGAACGCUGGCGGCGCGUUUAAGCAUGCAAGUCGAGCGGCAAGGGCCUUCGGGCCCCUAGAGCGGCGGACGGGUGAGUAACACGUGGACAAUCUGCCCCCCGGCCCGGGAUAGCCCAGGGAAACCUGGAUUAAUACCGGAUGAGACGGGACCCGCGAUGGCGGGAUCCGGGAAAGGCGCUGCGGCGCCGCCG